CAAAUUAAGAAAAGCCUGCCAGAUUGCAACGCUCCAAAAUGCCUUAUUGCAUCUCCGAAGUCGUAAAACCCAAGUUUCUAUUUCUUCCUUUCAAAUUCUAGGGUUUCUGAGAAGAGAUUAAGCAGCCGCGGCAGCAAAACUCAACAAUGGCGAGGAUAAAGGUUCACGAGUUAAGGAACAAGUCCAAGACGGAGCUGCUAAGCCAAUUGAAGGACUUGAAAGCUGAACUUGCUCUCCUCCGCGUCGCUAAGGUCACAGGUGGCGCCCCUAAUAAGCUCUCCAAGAUAAAAGUUGUGAGGUUAUCGAUCGCGCAGGUUUUGACGGUGAUUUCGCAGAAGCAAAAAUCUGCGCUUAGAGAAGCUUAUAAGAAGAAAAAGUUCCUCCCUUUGGAUCUCCGUCCCAAGAAGACUCGUGCCAUUCGCCGCCGCCUUACUAAACAUCAGGGGAGGGACUGAAAUGGCUGAGCCCAGGAUGAAAUGGAUCUAAUAAUAGUUGUUCUUUUGAGGGAAUAGGCAUCUUUGAAGACACAGCGUGAAAAGAAGAAGGAGAUGUACUUCCCACUAAGGAAAUAUGCCAUUAAAGUGUAAGCAGGCGGAGCUAUUUUUUGUUCUAUCAAAGUCUAAAAAGUAGAAUUAUGGUUUAGAUGCAGUUAUAUGAGCAUCAUUUUUGUCCCUUCAUUAGUUUUCCUUGAACAUCUAUUUGAGCGCUAUAAUAUGAUUUCACAAUUCAGAA